rnacentral:rRNA from 1 species
AUUGAACGCUGGCGGCAGGCUUAACACAUGCAAGUCGAGCGGAGAUGAGGUGCUUGCACCUUAUCUUAGCGGCGGACGGGUGAGUAAUGCUUAGGAAUCUGCCUAUUAGUGGGGGACAACAUUCCGAAAGGAAUGCUAAUACCGCAUACGCCCUACGGGGGAAAGCAGGGGAUCUUCGGACCUUGCGCUAAUAGAUGAGCCUCAGUCGGAUUAGCUAGUUGGUGGGGUAAAGGCCUACCAAGGCGACGACCUGUAGCGGGUCUGAGAGGAGGAUCCGCCACACUGGGACUGAGACACGGCCCAGACUCCUACGGGAGGCAGCAGUGGGGAAUAUUGGACAAUGGGCGGAAGCCUGAUCCAGCCAUGCCGCGUGUGUGAAGAAGGCCUUUUGGUUGUAAAGCACUUUAAGCGAGGAGGAGGCUACCUGGAUUAAUACUCUAGGAUAGUGGACGUUACUCGCAGAAUAAGCACCGGCUAACUCUGUGCCAGCCGCCGCGGUAAAAC